GAAAAAUGGAAGUGGAAGAAGAGGAGGAGCCAAGCCACAAUAUUUAGCUGAGGUGGGCCUCCGGUGUGGCCAGGCAGUUCAGCCUUGCCGUCAACCCUCCAUGUGAUGACACGCCAUCACACAACCUGCAGUUCAUGCUUGGGAUGGGACACACUGGGACAGCCUCGGACCGUUGGUGGGAGCAAGACAAGGCUGUGGCAAUUUUGCCACUCAGACCUGUUGCCUUGUUACUAUUAUUGCACAUCCUAAGAAGGUGUGUGUAUGUGUGCAUAUGUGUGUUUACCUAGUAGUAUUGUACAGGGUUAGAGCGGGCCUCGUAGCGUCCUGUCUCCAUGUCUCCAAUUUUUU